UCUUCUGCUAGAGAACAGGUCAUAUCUGUAUCCGGAUUAGCCACUAGGAGUUUGCCAUUGAUGUUGCACCUUGGCUUGUACGUAAAAGUCCAAAGUCCUGUAAAGUCAAAAAUCUUCCUUUCUACAUUUGCGCCAACCUCAAAUAACAUUUUCUCGUUACCGCUUUCCUUCAUCUCCGGGCGAGAAAAUCGUUCGGAAUCGAGCCAUUCUUUUCCCUCCAUCCAAACUGUCAAGCUGGCACUUUAAUCGUUAGCCAACCACAGUAUCUGAACUUUCUCUUCGCUGUUUUGUUUAUUUCUUUCAAAUUUCAAUUUUUUUGUCUAUUUCUGUAAAACUAUAGCGUCAUGUUUUCUGAUUGUUUCUAUGGGAAGAAUACACUCAGGUGUUUCUAAACCUCAAAGGUCCAAAAGUUUCUCUCGUUCUUGGAAUCUGAUAGUUUCGUUCUUGUUUCUCUUUUGACGUUUUCUUUGUCUUGGUGACGAUUUGUUUUGCUUACCUUAAAGUAGAAACCAUUCUUUGUGCGGAGUAGCUUCUUCGAGGUUCUUGUAAUAAAGGGUUGUGGUUUUCGAUGUCUUUUGAGAGUGAGAUUUUGGGAAGUCGUUUGCUUUUAAGGUUAUAAAAUGGCUGAAGGGUCAGAACUUCGGUUAGUUCGUUGCCCAAAGUGUGACAAUCUCCUACAAGUGCGGUGGUUGUGGUGCUCUUCUCCGAGCAAAGAGGAAAGGCAAAGUGGCUAUAAAUGAUGGGCAAUUAGAGAAGCUUGAAAAAGAGACUUCGCCAAAGAAAGAAGAGGGUAGUGAUUUAGGUGUUGCAUCCGAGGCUGAGAUAGAGAGUGACGGGGUCUUUCUUGAUAGGAUAAAAGAGUGAGUCUUUAGAGGAAGAACUGCCAAUUUGAUCGGUAGUUCUUUAUUCGGGAUAGAAACCAAAGAAACUUCAAUUGAUAGUAGCUUUGGAACUGCGAAGGAACAAAUUGUGGGUUAUGAAGGUGGUGCAGAGAAGGAAAUUGGUUCUGGGGAUAAAUAUAGGCUCCGGCUACCAUUGAAGCACCCAAUUGGGAAUUGGGUUGGCUGGGAUGAUAAUGAAAUGAACAUGAAUAGAUCUGAGUGUGUUAAUUCAAGUAGAGAAAAAGAUGUUGCCGAGAUUUCAGCCCAAUUUAAGAGUUCUGCAGGGUCUUUGAGGUCAAGGGCAAUUGUGGGCAAUUGGGGUUUGGAUAGAGAUGGCCGAGAGGGAACUUAUGCAAACCUCAGAAUGGCUGAUGAUCGAAACAGAUUUUUGACUUCUGCUUGUCCUGUUGAGGGACCUUCAAAUUAUUGCUUGAGUCCUUCCUCUUAUGAAUCUGGUAAACUGGUGAAGAAUUUUGAUGACCUGGAUGGGUCUAACAGAUUUGUACGUUUAGAGCAGAAUCGGGUUGAGUUGCUUAGGAAGCUGGAUGAUUUAAAGGAACAAAUCUGCAGAAGUGGUUCUGCAGCAGAGAAAGAAAGGGAAGGGGACUUUGGUGCUUACUGCGAUUGUGUUACUUACAAUGUUCUAAUGAAACCUUUAGCUCCAGAUAAGCAAUUCCGUAGAAACCCCUAUUGUCGUGAUAUAGAUAUGCACAACUUUUGUUUUCCUCCAAAUCAUGUUGCAAAUGAAUUCCCAAUCUAUGAGGAUCCCAUUCAACUACAAUUACCCAGGGUAAAUUCCCAUCAACCACUUGGUCAAUACUGGCAGCAACCUCCUGGUGACUACUUGCCAGGGACAUACAAAGACUUCAACCAAGAACAGCAGCUCGUAUCUUAUCCUUGUGGAACGUUGUAUCAAGAUCCUGCUUGUGCAUGUUUUCACUGUUACUACAAUAAUUGGCAUGUUCCUUCACGAGUCCCAACCACUGUUUUUGGCAAUAAAAAGUUUAUGAAGGACCCAGCUGAUUCCCACUUCAACUGCCACGUUAAUCCUAUUACAUUUGGGUCAAAGAAACGCAAUCCUCAAGCCAAUCCUCGCACAUUUCAUGCACAAGAUCCACAGUCACAUGGUAGUUGGCCAAGUGACAUCAAUUCAGAUGUGAAUGUCUUUCAUCAGAGUCGUCCAAGGAGGUUGGUGGUAGCCCAGGGUAAUGUGCGUCUUUGCCAUCCUAUUGCUGGUGGUGCCCCAUUUAUAACGUGCUACAGUUGCUUUAACUUACUGAAACUGCCAAGAAAACUUAAAGUGAGGGAGAAGAAUCUGCAGAAACUGCGAUGUGGUGCCUGCUUAACAGUAUUCUUGUUUGAAAUUAAAAACAAGCAGCUAAUUAUUUCUAUUCCCACUGAAAACAAGCAAAUAUUGACCGGAGCAACUGAUGGCUCUUCUGAGGUCUCAAAAGAAGUCCUCUCAAGUCCUAAUGGUGGUUUUAAUGCCGAAGGAAUGGAUUGCUCAGCAAGUGUUGAAAAUCCUGCUCAUGACUUCCAGUCAUCAGAUUUCAAAAGAAAUAUUAGAUCAGAAGUCCAGAGGCUAAACUUAACUGAAUUUGAGAAAGGGCAGCACCUUACUUCUCUAGCUUCUGUUUCUUCAGAGGAUGAGGAGCCCCAGGAUAGUAUGAUUGUUCAGAGAGAUGUUUCCUACUUUCCUGAGCAUCCCACAAAAGAAAAUGCAUCUCCAAAUUUUCCAGCUUUACCUUUGUCAGAGCAUUUGGAUGAUUUUUUAUCUAAUAAGGAAGAGAACAUAUAUGGGGAAGGAAACAAGAGUAAUAGAACAGACCAAAAGAAGGCUAAACUUGAUAAGAGUACUCCUCAGCAGAACUCUGUGAAAGAUGCAUCAGAAACUGAAGUGGAAGUUUCUUUUAAUGAAUACACGAAUACUAGUUUAUCUCAAUACUCUGAGGAGAUAAGAGAAGAAAAAGAUCAGUCCACGCCCUCUAGAAUCAACAAGGUAAGCGAAUCAGUCCCGCUGGGUCUUCUUAAGAAGCAAUCUAGAUCUAAUCACCAAAUGGAGGGUGAAAAAUAUAAUAUUUCUGUUAAUGGGCAACCUAUUCCAGAAAGUAUGGUGAAAAAGGCUGAAAAGCUAGCUGGGCCAAUUCAUCCUGGAGAUUACUGGUUAGUUAUAUACUUCCAUUAGAUUUUUUUGUGAUGACAUGCAUGUGUUACAUAGUAAUGGUAAGCUGUAACUGGUGGCAUACAGUUGAUACAAAGAGAGUAGCUGUACAGAUCCCAAAUGUCUAUGUUUCAAUUGUAAAAUUGUAAUCUAGAUAAACUGCAACAUAAAGAUCUUAAUGAUUUUUCUGCAUAGUGUUAUGGAAGAAUUUCUAUCUAUGCAUUUGCCAUUGUAAAGUAAGGACAGAAGAAUUAUUUAGUUUUCUUUUCUCUGAAUAAUGACGAGCAUUCUGCUUCUGCCUUUUUUAGGUAUGAUUUUCAAGCAGGAUUUUGGGGCGUAAUGGGACAACCUUGCGUUGGCAUAAUCCCUGUGAGAUCAAGUGACCUUGAGUUUCCUUCUUUGUCAACAAAAUUCACUGCUGCUGAUUUUAUUGACUAAUCUUUGAUGUUGUUUUGCAGCCUUUUAUUAAAGAGUUUGAUUAUCCCAUGCCAGAAAAUUGUGGUGCUGGAAACACCAGUGUCUUUGUCAAUGGGAGAGAGCUUCAUCAGAAAGAUUUAGAUCUACUUGCCAGUAGAGGACUACCAACCACAAGGGAUAAGUUCUAUACUGUUUCAAUUUCAGGAGAAGUUCUUGACCAGGAAUCCGGCAUGGAGCUAAAAAGCCUUGGUAAACUUGCCCCUACGUAAGUCCUGCUUCUUUUUUAAUCACCCCUUUACUUUUAUUAUGAAUAUAAAUAUCAUUACACAAUUCUCAGACAAGCUUCCAGAAGAUCCAUUGUAUGAAAUGACAUACUUAUUACAUAGUUAUUGGAGGGUUUUGCAUUGUCCAGUUAAAAUCAGGAAUACUAAAUUCUAAGUUCUAUUAUGGGAUACAGGCUGUAUAAUAGAGUCAAAUUAAAAUUGUGAAUUGACAUGGUUCGAAGUCUAUGGAUGUUUGAACCUUUUCAACCCCAUCACAUGCUCAAAUGCAAUUUGAGAAUUAAAUUGGGAACUACUUUUUUAUUGGAACUUCACUGGUUUUCAUUCCAAAUUGUGAUCAGGCAUAGUUGAGGCCGCCACAUGGUUUUUCUUCCUGGCUUACCUUGAUUAAUAUGCAUAUAAUUACAAUCAGAAGGCUCGAAGCCACCAAAAAAUAUUGGAAUUGUAGAUUAACUAAUUAUUCUGUAAGUUGCCUUGAGCUGCUUUAUUUACAUUUAUAACUGAUGAUUGACUAUUUUGAGCAGAGUCCAGAAGCAGAAACGAGGAUUUGGGAUGAAGGUUCCAAGAAGAAAGCUUACGUGAUGAGUAACUUUCUGGGUUUAAUAAUUAUGUUCAGCUGUAAAUAUUGAGGCAAUCACUGCUUGUAUUAUUUGCGUCUGUAAAUAUUGAGACAAUCACAGCAAAUGCUAUGUCAAAUUCUUGAUAUGUAUGCUUACUUGUACUGAUAUGAUAAUUUUUGACCUCAAAUACAGAUUAGUUUGUGCAGUUUAGUUAAAA
rnacentral:misc_RNA from 1 species